rnacentral:rRNA from 1 species
UCGAGAAUCUUUCGCAAUGCCCGAAAGGGUGACGAAGCGACGCCGCGUGCGGGAGGAAGGCCUUCGGGUUGUAAACCGCUGUCGGGAGUUAAGAAAUGCAAGGAUGUUAAUAGCGUUCUUGCUUGACUAAGGCUCCGGAGGAAGCCACGGCUAACUCUGUGCCAGCAGCCGCGGUAAUACAGAGGCGGCAAGCGUUGUUCGGAAUUAUUGGGCGUAAAGAGCACGUAGGCGGCUGUGUAAGUCGGUUGUGAAAGCCUUCCGCUCAACGGAAGAACGGCAUCCGAUACUGCAUGGCUUGAGUGUGGGAGGGGAGAGUGGAACUUCUGGUGGAGCGGUGAAAUGCGUAGAUAUCAGAAGGAACACCGGCGGCGAAGGCGACUCUCUGGUCCAUAACUGACGCUGAGUGUGCGAAAGCUAGGGGAGCAAACGGGAUUAGAUACCCUCGUAGUCCCUGAGCGGGCUGGCAAGGCGCAU